CGUCCCCUUCGGCCGAGGCACACAUUCUUGGAUCUGCCUCGCAUGGGCACACAAGCUCGUAUCUUGCCGACGAUGCAGUUCUUGCACGGACGUAUGCUCUUAUGUUAAGGCUGGAGAUGAUCUCCAAGCUUGGGCGUGUUAUUAGGCAGAUGUUGCACUGCGAGGGCAUGUCAUUCAAUUGUAUUGCCUGAGCUCGUGUCGCGGAAGCUUAUGCGCACUCCCUGUUGCGAGGAGUUUGGAUCCGGUCGAUGAUACAUUUCUUGCAUGGGCUCGUGCUUGUGUUGAGGCUAGAGACGAGCUGCAGUGCUCGGGCGUCCUAUGCACGUAGUUUUGAUCCUUCCGACGAUGCAAAUCUUGCACCCGCGCAUGCUUAUGUUAAGGCUGGAGAGAAGCCCUAAGCUUGGGCGUGUUAUUAGGCAGAUGUUGCACUGAGAGGGCAUGUCAUUCAAUUGUAUUGCCUGACCUCGUGUCGCAGAAGCUUAUGCGCACUCCCUGUUGCAAGGAGUUUGGAUCCGGUCGAUGAUACAUGUCUAGCUUGGGCUUGUGCUUAUGUUGAGGCUGGAGAUGAGCUACAUGCUCGGGCGUCAUAUAGGGCUGAUGAUGUUGCAUUAUGAGGGCAUGUCAUUCAAUUGUAUUGCCUGAGGUGGUGUGACGGAAGCUCUUUGCACGGAGUUUGUUUCCUGCCGACGAUGCAGAUCUUGCUCGGGCACAUGCUUAUGUUAAGGCUGGAGAUGAUCUCUGAGCUUGGGCGUGUUAUUAGGCGGGUGUUGCACUGAGA
rnacentral:lncRNA from 1 species